UACAGAGACUGCGAGCGUUAUUCGGAUUCACUGGGCGUAAAGGGUGCGCAGGCGGCCGUGUGUGUGAGGCGUGAAAGCCCGGGGCUUAACCCCGGAAUUGCGCCUCAAACUACACGGCUAGAGCAUUGGAGAGGGUAGCGGAAUUCACGGUGUAGCAGUGAAAUGCGUAGAUAUCGUGAGGAACACCAGAGGCGAAGGCGGCUACCUGGACAAUUGCUGACGCUCAGGCACGAAAGCGUGGGGAGCAAAAGGG
rnacentral:rRNA from 1 species